rnacentral:rRNA from 1 species
CGGCGAGUGAAGCGGCAAUAGCUCAAAUUUGAAAGCUGGCGUACGUCCGCGUUGUAAUUUGUAGAGGAUGCUUCGGCGAGGACUCCUGCCUAAGUCCCCUGGAACGGGGCGUCACAGAGGGUGAGAAUCCCGUAUGUGGCGGGCGGUCCGAGCCAUGUGAAGCUCCUUCGACGAGUCGAGUUGUUUGGGAAUGCAGCUCUAAAUGGGAGGUAAAUUUCUUCUAAAGCUAAAUAUUGGCCAGAGACCGAUAGCGCACAAGUAGAGUGAUCGAAAGAUGAAAAGCACUUUGGAAAGAGAGUUAAAAAGUACGUGAAAUUGUUGAAAGGGAAGCGCUUGCAACCAGACUCGCUCGCAGUUGCUCAGCCGGCCUCUUGGCCGGUGUACUCUUCUGUGAUCGGGCCAGCAUCAGUUCGGGCGGCCGGAUAAAGGUGUCGGGAAUGUAGCACCCUUCGGGGUGUGUUAUAGCCCGGCGCGGAAUGCGGCCAGCCUGGACUGAGGAUCUCGCUUCGGCAAGGAUGCUGGCGUAAUGGUUGUAAGCGGCCCGUCU